GAGGAAUAUUGGUCAAUGGACGAGAGUCUGAACCAGCCAAGUAGCGUGAAGGAUGACUGCCCUAUGGGUUGUAAACUUCUUUUAUACGGGAAUAAAGUUAGCCACGUGUGGCUUUUUGUAUGUACCGUAUGAAUAAGGAUCGGCUAACUCCGUGCCAGCAGCCGCGGUAAUACGGAGGAUCCGAGCGUUAUCCGGAUUUAUUGGGUUUAAAGGGAGCGUAGGCGGGUUGUUAAGUCAGUUGUGAAAGUUUGCGGCUCAACCGUAAAAUUGCAGUUGAUACUGGCGACCUUGAGUGCAACAGAGGUAGGCGGAAUUCGUGGUGUAGCGGUGAAAUGCUUAGAUAUCACGAAGAACUCCGAUUGCGAAGGCAGCUUACUGGAUUGUAACUGACGCUGAUGCUCGAAAGUGUGGGUAUCAAACAGGAUUAGAUACCCUGGUAGUCCACACAGUAAACGAUGAAUACUCGCUGUUGGCGAUAUACGGUCAGCGGCCAAGCGAAAGCAUUAAGUAUUCCACCUGGGGAGUACGCCGGCAACGGUGAAACUCAAAGGAAUUGACGGGGGCCCGCACAAGCGGAGGAACAUGUGGUUUAAUUCGAUGAUACGCGAGGAACCUUACCCGGGCUUAAAUUGCAACUGACUGAACCGGAAACGGUUCUUUCUUCGGACAGUUGUGAAGGUGCUGUAUGGUUGUCGUCAGCUCGUGCCGUGAGGUGUCGGCUUAAGUGCCAUAACGAGCGCAACCCUUAUCGAUAGUUACUAGCAGGUCAUGCUGAGGACUCUAUUGAGACUGCCGUCGUAAGAUGUGAGGAAGAUGGGGAUGACGUCAAAUCAGCACGGCCCUUACGUCCGGGGCUACACACGUGUUACAAUGGGGGGUACAGAAGGCAGCUACACGGCGACGUGGUGCUAAUCCCGAAAGCCUCUCUCAGUUCGGAUUGGAGUCUGCAACCCGACUCCAUGAAGCUGGAUUCGCUAGUAAUCGCGCAUCAGCCACGGCGCGGUGAAUACGUUCCCG
rnacentral:rRNA from 1 species